rnacentral:rRNA from 1 species
GAUGAACGCUGGCGGCGUGCUUAACACAUGCAAGUCGAACGAUGAUCCCAGCUUGCUGGGGGAUUAGUGGCGAACGGGUGAGUAACACGUGAGUAACCUGCCCUUGACUCUGGGAUAAGCCUGGGAAACUGGGUCUAAUACCGGAUAUGACUCCUCAUCGCAUGGUGGGGGGUGGAAAGCUUUUGUGGUUUUGGAUGGACUCGCGGCCUAUCAGCUUGUUGGUGGGGUAAUGGCCUACCAAGGCGACGACGGGUAGCCGGCCUGAGAGGGUGACCGGCCACACUGGGACUGAGACACGGCCCAGACUCCUACGGGAGGCAGCAGUGGGGAAUAUUGCACAAUGGGCGAAAGCCUGAUGCAGCGACGCCGCGUGAGGGAUGACGGCCUUCGGGUUGUAAACCUCUUUCAGUAGGGAAGAAGCCGUAAGGUGACGGUACCUGCAGAAGAAGCGCCGGCUAACUACGUGCCAGCAGCCGCCGUAA